CCCAAGUGUGAUGGCGCCUUUCGUUUUCCUCAGAUAUCUCAUUCCAGAAGAAAACUCUGAGGCAGGUGUGGAGCAAUGUGGAAGGCAGAAAAGAUUUUCAGGAUCAUUAUCCACAUGACAGUUCCUGGUUAUCAGAGGGAGAGAUGAGAAAACUGAAGCCCAGAAAGGGGAAGUAAAUGAUCCGGGUCCACAUGGUUCAAUGGCAAAGAUCUGAUCAGCCAGGGCCUCCUUUUCACAAACCAUGCUACUCUACCAUCUACCCCAAAGUCUGAGAAGAAAAUUGGUAACAAUACUUGAGAAAGCAGAAGGAAAAUAUUCUUUUCGUUUUUCAAACUUAGCUUGGUUGACUUAAAUCACCUCCUGAGAUUUGCUGACCUUGAAUUAUAAGAUCUACCCCAUAUUAAAUGACAUCAUUUCUUAUAUUAAUAUAAAUGCAUUUUCCCAAACAUUGAUAAAAGCAAAAUGGCUGAUAUCCCAACACGACAUUCCUGAAUUCAUUGUUUCAAUAAGAAGUGAAAUUGUUUACACAUGGCAUGGAAAUUUUACCUGUGAUUCAUACUGAAAAAUAUUAAACAUCAAGAAAAAAAAUACAUACUGAAAUAACACUAAGAUAUGCAUCUCUGACUGCAUACACAGACAAUUGUCUGCCCCAGGUUCCACAAUGGAAGAUGGGUGUUGAACUCAGAGACCACAGUGAAAAUUUCUCUCCAAGUCGGAUUUUAACAAAGAAAGAAAAACGUGGGAAUUAAGCCUCCACCUGGGUCUUAACUCUCCAUUUGCUGCAUAGCACUAUUAUUUUUUAAAUUACAGAAUCUUUGGUUUUUAUAGCUUAAAGAGACCCUGGAGAUCAUCUUUCUAACCUUCCUCCUCUUAUAAAUGAAGAAACUAAGGUUCGGGAAGACAAGAGUGUCCUGCCCAAAGUCACAGAGACAAUAAGCGACAAAGCCAAGGCUAGAGCCUCUUCAUAACAGUUCCAAGUUCUACCAUAUUACCCUUUUAAUUUUCCACAUAGAUAACUAGAAAAUAAAUGCAUACAUAACACAUAUAUUAUCAUUAAUAAAGUAUAAGUACUGUUUAACAAGUCUAAACCACAAUAAAGGAUUUAUAAAAAAA